rnacentral:rRNA from 1 species
GUGCAGGGGUGCGACGCAUCGGUCCUCCUCGACACGACGCCGGCCAACGCUCAGCCAGAGAAGCUCGGCAUCCCCAACUUCCCGAGCCUGCGCGGCUUCGAGGUGAUCGACGCGGCAAAGGCGGCGCUCGAGGAGGCCUGCCCCGGAGUCGUCUCGUGUGCGGACAUCGUCGCUUUCGCUGGCUGCGACGCCACUUUCUUCCUCAGCAACGGGAAGGCGUACUUCGACAUGCCAGCCGGCCGCUACGACGGGAACGUGUCCCUCGCCAGCGAGACCCUCUCCAACCUGCCUCCGCCCUUCGCCACCCUCCAGAUGCUCAAGGACAUGUUCGCCUCCAAAGGGCUCACCGUCGACGAGAUGGUCACCCUCUCCGGCGCACACAGCGUCGGGAUCUCCCACUGCUCGUCCUUCUCGGACCGCCUCCCGCCCAACCCCUCGGACCCCUCGGCCAUGGACGCCACGCUCGCUGCAUCUGUGCAGGUAAAAUGCAACCGCACUGGUGACCCCGUGGUGGUGCAGGACUUGAGGACCCCUGGGGACCUAGACAACCAGUAUUACAGGAACGUGCUCGAUAAAAAAGAAUUGUUCAAGUCGGACGCCGCACUCCGUUCGUCGGAGACUGGGGCACAAGUGCUCCUCAACGCCUGGAUCCCUGGGCGGUGGGAGCAAAAGUUCAAGGCGGCCAUGGUGAGGAUGGGCAGUAUCGAAGUCAAGACCAGGGCCAACGGGGAGAUCAGAAAGCAGUGCCGGUUUGUGAACUAG